rnacentral:rRNA from 1 species
UACGGGGGGGGCAAGCGUUGUUCGGAAUUACUGGGCGUAAAGGGCUCGUAGGCGGCCAACUAAGUCAGACGUGAAAUCCCUCGGCUUAACCGGGGAACUGCGUCUGAUACUGGAUGGCUUGAGGUUGGGAGAGGGAUGCGGAAUUCCUGGUGUAGCGGUGGAAUGCGCAGAUAUCAGGAAGAACACCCGUGGCGAAGGCGGCAUCCUGGACCAAUACUGACGCUGAGGAGCGAAAGCCAGGGGAGCAAACGGG